rnacentral:ncRNA from 1 species
GUAAACCGCUUCAUGCAGCCGCAGUAGCUCUGCUCCCAAAAGCAGCCCGAAAGGGUCAGUGGUGUUCCUGUCCGCGCUCCGGCGCGGCGAACCAAGUGCUAGUCUCUCCGGAGGCGACACCCUCAAAUUGCGGGAAACUUCUAAAACCAGUGUCACCAAGCCGGCGUCGAAAAGGCGUCGGUGGCCGGGGCAAUGACCUAGGGUACGGUAAAAGCACACUGGAUAUAUGGACAAUCCGCAGCCAAGCCUCGUCACGGGGAAGGUUCAGAGACUAAAUGGGGGUGGGUAGUGUGCUGGAGGAUUCGUCCUCCGAGCGCUCGCUCACACACUGCUUAAGAUAUAGUCCGCCCGCGCUGGAAACAGCGCG